UUUUAAAAGAUUUCAUCCAAAUUUUUGUUCCAUCCUAAUACUGUUUAUCUACAAAAAGCAGCUUUACUACAUAAACAUGCUUCAUUUUCUUAUUUUUUAAUGAUAUUCAGCUUUUUCAAUUUGACUACCAAGACUUUAGAUUUCCUAGUACUUUAUAUCAUACAGGUAAGGUAAUACCUACUACAAUGUAAUUAAAAGAGCAUGUAUGUAAAUGUGAAGAUUAGAAUAUGGGUAAUGAGUGAUGUCUUUCUCUUCAAAUCAAAGGAAGAAGAAAUAUUUUGGACAUACAACAUAUCAACUCACAGCCAAUGGGUGAAAGCAGAUGUGUUAAUACCAGAAGAUCUGAAGACAUUUAAGAUUAUUUUUGAAGGGACUCUUUAGAGCCAGAGAAGUUUUAUUGCCCUUGAUCACCUCUGGGUCUAUGCCUGUGGACAGACCCAAUCCAGAAAGCUUUGCUCUGAAGACGAAUUCCCUUGCACUAGUGGCCAGUGCAUCGCCAAAGAAUCUGUCUGUGACUCUCGGCAGGACUGCUCCGAUGAGAGUGAUGAAGACCCAGCAACUUGCUCAAAGCAUCUCGCCUGUGACUUUGAGUCGGGUUUCUGCGGUUGGGAGCCAUUUCUCACAGAAGAUUCACACUGGAAGCUGAUGAAAGGAUAGAAUAAUGGAGAGCACCA